GAGUUUGAUCGUGGCUCAGAUUGAACGCUGGCGGCAUGCCUUACACAUGCAAGGUCGAACGGCAGCACGGGAGCUUGCUCCUGGUGGCGAGUGGCGAACGGGUGAGUAAUGCAUCGGAACGUGGUCCUGGAGUGGGGGAUAACGUAGCGAAAGUUACGCUAUACCGCAUAUUCUGUGAGCAGGAAAGCGGGGGACCUUCGGGCCUCGCGCUCUUGGAGCGGCCGAUGUCGGAUUAGCUAGUUGGUGAGGU
rnacentral:rRNA from 1 species